CCCUAACUUAGAACUUCUCCUCCUUCGCCGCGGCCAAAUCCUUCGUCUUCCUUCAGAUAGUCAGUGUUUUCUUGUUUACUGCGUCCAGCCAUGUCGAUCGGGGAGCUCCCAUGCACAGACGCUGCUCUCAUCCUCCAUGACGAAGACCUCCCUAUCACGGAGGAGGAGGUGGUGUUGCUGCUUCUGUCUCAGCCGCUGUUACCGGCCCCGGUGGUGGUGCUUCUGCCUCCGCCGCCGCUUCGCCUGCUGUUGUUGAGGAGCAGAAGGUCAGUGAAGUCUGUUUAUUGGGUUUUCAUGUUUAUUGGGGUUUUCUGCUAAGAUAUUAAUCUUAUUAUUAUUUGAUUAAGUAGUCCUUUAUAACGUGAGUUCGCCUACGUGAGGAUUUGUAUGUAUUUGGGGUAGAAGCAAAGAAAGUGAUGAUGGUAUGAGAUUAUCUUUGUUUAUCUUAAAUUGAUAUCCGUGUUGUUCUA